GAUGAACGCUAGCGGCAGGCUUAAUACAUGCAAGUCGAGGGGCAGCGGGGGUAGCAAUACCUGCCGGCGACCGGCAAACGGGUGCGGAACACGUACACAACCUUCCUUUAAGCGGGGGAUAGCCCAGAGAAAUUUGGAUUAAUACCCCAUAGAAUGUUAGUGAGGCAUCUCACAGGCAUUAAAGAUUUAUCACUUGAAGAUGGGUGUGCGUCUGAUUAGGUAGUUGGCGGGGAACGGCCACCAAGCCAGCGAUCAGUAACUGGUGUGAGAGCACGACCAGUCACACGGGCACUGAGACACGGGCCCGACUCCUACGGGAGGCAGCAGUAAGGAAUAUUGGUCAAUGGACGCAAGUCUGAACCAGCCAUGCCGCGUGGAGGAUGAAGGUCCUCUGGAUUGUAAACUUCUUUUAUCUGGGACGAAAAAGGUCAUUCUUGAUCACUUGACGGUACCAGAGGAAUAAGCA
rnacentral:rRNA from 1 species